rnacentral:snRNA from 1 species
AUGCUCACUUCUACACAUGUACUAAAAUUGAACAAUGCAGUGAAGAUCAGCCUGCCUCCUGUGCAAGAAUGACAUGCAAAUUUGUGAAGCGUUCCAUAUCUUU